ensembl:lncRNA
AGAAGAGGAAUUUCAUGCAAAGGUUGUAACAACGAAAACAGCUGCAAGCACAAAAAAAGCCAGGAACAGAGAGGAAGGGACGUAGUCAGCCAACAAGCGAGUUAUGUGGCAAGAGAGUGGGAGGACGAUCCUGAAGCUGUCCGAUUAUUUUACCGAUCAGACAUCAAGCUAAGGUUGCCAACGGCUUUUAGCUUCGAUUUUCGCCUUAUAACGUUAGCUACCUGGAACGCGACAACGCAGCAGUCAACACGGCAGAGAUAACAAAAAGGCCAAACUCCCAGACGACAGCGACGCCUCAGAUCAAACUGCCAGGCUGUGUUUUAAUCCUCAGUCUACCUUUUUUUUGGUUAGGAGGAAGGAAGCAAAGAGAGGCAACAAACCGGAGAGUCGACAGAGAGAGCAGCCUGACCCAGUGGAAAUAGAAACACAGAGGAGGACAGAAAGAAAAGGCAGCGGAGUUACCUAUCCAGCCACCAAACUAAACAGAGGGAGGAAGGAGAGAGACAGAGAGUGAGACAGUGAGAUAAAUCCCAUCUUUCUAAGAAGGGAUUCUGGGUGGAAUGACCCUGUCAUGAUGCCACAGCCGUGCCACACCCCACGCCCAGGGGACCAAAGAGGGCGUUUCUGGCUAUCAGCCAAGCACAGAGGAUGCCCCAAUAGAGUUAUUUCUGAUUCCAGUUCAGAGACAUUUCCUCUCAAGACACUCUUGCAUCACUGACACUCCGCCCCUCUGGUAAAUUUUGCCUUGAGGUUUUAGCCGUCUUAAACUAACAAACAUAAUGCAACUGGUUGCAUGACCAAGUUGCUCGUAACUUCUAUAAAUCUAUCUAACCCUACGCUGUUGUAACUUUAAAUCAUAAACUGUAAUGUAUUCGUUGAUUGUAUUUUAUUUUUUCACCAACAAAAUUUGUCCUAUAUUUCUUGUCAGGUCAUAGCUUCUGUGCCCACCUGCUGCUUCCUCUAGAGUCCUUACUGUUUCCUGGUUACCUAUCUUGGGAUGUUGGCGUUGUUUUGUGGCAGCUGCCAUGGAGAUAAACAGAUUCCUUUAGUAGACCAUUUUAGACACAACCUCCAGAUGUUUUGCAAGAUGCAGGUUGUCCACACUGGCAGGAUUAGACAAGGACCGGCUCAGAGGUAAGAUGUUGAUCUCGACAUUGUCUCAUUAUAUUACUCAAUUAGACAGGAGACAGCAGUCUUUUGCAGUCACAAAAAAGAAAGCAGCAAAAAGGGAUUCAGCCCCCCAGCUUUAAUUGUUUUUUUAUCAUACGGUAUAGUCCUGCAUUUCUUCUGCGGUAAAAAUAGAAUGGGACACCUGGAUGAAGUGAGUGUCCUCAUCAGGCAUGUACCAGACGCGAGUGGUAUGAAUUGAUGCUUAUAAUGGUUAAUUAUUUAUUCCUUGAUGUCAUUCUAUGGCAGUGAGUCAGUACUGUAUGUAAAUAACUGUAAAAGAAAGGAACACCUUAUUACCGUAUUAGAUGUGUCAAUUCUAUUCAAAGAUGUAUAACAAAUGUCCAUAUGUAGUGCAACAAAAUUACAGAUAUUAAACGUUCUCACAUCAUUGUUGACAGCUUAGAAGGGCUGAAUGCCUUCAUGUACUUUUACAUUUUAUCAUGCUAUAUUAUGUUUUCUAUCACUCAUACAGUCUGCCAUUAUUAAUUGCUUUAUUGAAAACUGUCCUGAAUAGUUAUGCUGUAUUUUUUUUAUCCUAGGUGCUGUGGGGCUCAGCUUCCUAAUUCAUACUAUUUGACGACAUCACAGCAGGAAGUAUAGAACUUCCUAUUCCUGUGGAACAUCUUACUCUGCCUCUUGGCACUUGUGAGGACCUACUUGACCCUAUUGCAAGUUAGUCAA